rnacentral:rRNA from 1 species
CGAUUGAACGCUGGCGGCAUGCCUUACACAUGCAAGUCGAACGGCAGCACGGGAGCAAUCCUGGUGGCGAGUGGCGAACGGGUGAGUAAUAUAUCGGAACGUGCCCAGUCGUGGGGGAUAACGCAGCGAAAGCUGUGCUAAUACCGCAUACGAUCUAUGGAUGAAAGCGGGGGAUCGCAAGACCUCGCGCGAUUGGAGCGGCCGAUAUCAGAUUAGCUAGUUGGUGGGGUAAAAGCCUACCAAGGCGACGAUCUGUAGCUGGUCUGAGAGGACGACCAGCCACACUGGAACUGAGACACGGUCCAGACUCCUACGGGAGGCAGCAGUAGGGGAAUUUUGGACAAGUGGGCGCAAGCCUGAUCCAGCAAGUGCCGCGUGACAGG